GACGAACGCUGGCGGCGUGCUUAACACAUGCAAGUCGAACGGAAAGGCCCUGCUUUUGUGGGGUGCUCGAGUGGCGAACGGGUGAGUAACACGUGAGUAACCUGCCCUUGACUUUGGUAUAACUUCAGGAAACUGGGGCUAAUACCGGAUAGGAGCUCCUGCUGCAUGGUGGGGGUUGGAACGUUUCGGCGGUUGGGGAUGGACUCGCGGCUUAUCAGCUUGUUGGUGGGGUAGUGGCUUACCAAGGCUUUGACGGGUAGCCGGCCUGAGAGGGUGAACGGCGAGAUUGGGACUGAGAGACGGCCCAGACUGCUACGGGAGGCAGCAGGGGGGAAUAUUGCACAAUGGGAGGAAGCCGGAGGCAGAAACGCCGCGUGCGGGAUGACGGCCUUCGGGUUGUAAACAGCUUUAGCCUGUGACGAAGCGUGAGUGACGGUAAUGGGUAAAGAAGCACCGGCUAACUACGUG
rnacentral:rRNA from 1 species